ensembl:lncRNA
AACCACUUAAAAUAUAUAGGACAGAUUUUCUCAUGGUAACACUUUGCAUUAAUUUAUCUCAGUACAGGAUCUGACUAUUAUGCUAUUAAACUAAUUGAAGGUAGAGGAAGUAUCUAGCCUGAUCAGCUCUGCCAGCUCAAGAGUUUGCACAGUAAUUCUUCUGGAAAGAAAGCAAAAUAUACAAGGAGAAGAAGCAAAGAAGAUUUUAUUACAACUAGCUUGAGAAUUGCUCUGAAGAGUCUGUUGCAGAGAUGAGGAACAAAAGGACAGCGAGAGAACUCAAAUGCAAAGGAUACUGUCCAACAGAGGAUGGCAAAGUUUAUUUCUUCAGUAGGAACCAUGCAGUCCUGGGGAAGGCAAGUCCAUGGAAGAAAGCAACAGUGUUUGACAAUGGAUACCAAAUGCUUGCAAAACUACACUUCGUAGGAGGAACAGCUCUUUUCCUUAGCUGAAGUCUCUGCAAACAUUUUACCCAACUAUGAACCCUAAGGAAUAGCAUGAUGACUAUUAUAAUGCAACAGACAAUUUUAGCUAGAGCUUGGAAACCAGUGUCUUCAAGUGUUUCAAGAAGAAGUUACAAGAUUGGUUGAAGUCUAUAAUGGAAAGUAAAAUGCUCUAAAUAAACAUAAUAAAACUAUACCCUUCAAGAAUUUUUGGUACUUCCAAUUUGUUGUUACAAUUUACACUAAUGCAAUGGAAUGCACUUUUCAUAUUUACUUUGAUGAAGAAUUUCCUGGCAAAAUGUUAAAGUUUGUUCAUAGUGGAG